UAAAGGGCCGUGGUAUUUUAACCAUGCUAAGGUAGCAUAAUCAUUUGGUUUUUAAUUGAGAUCUGGAAUGAAUGGGGGCACGAAAGACACACUUUCUCUCUUCUUUAUUUUUAGAAUUUUACCUAACAGUGAAGAGGCUGUUAUGAUGGAGAAAGACAAGAAGACCCUAUGAGCUUUAUAAAAAUUAAAAUUCAACUUGUUAUUUUUUACUUUUUAUUUGGUUGGGGCAACCAAGGGAAAAUUAUGAAUUUUUUAUUAUAUAACUCCCUUUUUAGAAUAAAAAUAAAAAAGAAAUUUAAUUGAUUUCUUGUAUUAACUUAAAAACCUAAUUUUGAACAAAUUUAUUUAAUACUAGUUAGUUACCGUAGGGAUAACAGCAUUAUUUUUUUUUGGAGUCCUUAUCUAAAAAAGAGCUUGUGACCUCGAUGUUGGAUUAGGGUAAACCUUAAGGCGUAGAAAUUUUAAAUGGUUAGUCUGUUCGACUAUUAAACCCCCAC
rnacentral:rRNA from 1 species